rnacentral:rRNA from 1 species
CGUCGUCGGUAGGGGAGCGUUCUAAGGGCGUCGAAGCUAGACCGGAAGGACUAGUGGAGCGCUUAGAAGUGAGAAUGCCGGUGUGAGUAGCGAAAACAGAGGUGAGAAUCCUCUGCACCGAAAGCCUAAGGUUUCCUGAGGAAGGCUCGUCCGCUCAGGGUUAGUCGGGACCUAAGCCGAGGCCGAAAGGCGUAGGCGAUGGACAACAGGUUGAUAUUCCUGUACCACCUCCUCACCGUUUGAGCAAUGGGGGGACGCAGGAGGAUAGGGUCAGCGCGCGACUGGUUGUGCGCGUCCAAGCAGUUAGGCGCCUCAAGUAGGCAAAUCCGCUUGAGUAGGCUGAGCUGUGAUGGCGAGGGAAAUAAAGUACCGAAGUGCCUGAUUCCACACUGCCAAGAAAAGCCUCUAGCGAGGUGAGAGGUGCCCGUACCGCAAACCGACACAGGUAGGCGAGGAGAGAAUCCUAAGGUGCGCGGGAGAACUCUCGUUAAGGAACUCGGCAAAAUGACCCCGUAACUUCGGGAGAAGGGGUGCUCCCUCGGGUGAUGAGCCCAGGGGAGCCGCAGUGAAAAGGCCCAAGCGACUGUUUAUCAAAAACACAGGUCUCUGCGAAGCCGUAAGGCGAAGUAUAGGGGCUGACACCUGCCCGGUGCUGGAAGGUUAAGGGGAGCGCUUAGCGCAAGCGAAGGUGCGAACCGAAGCCCCAGUAAACGGCGGCCGUAACUAUAACGGUCCUAAGGUAGCGAAAUUCCUUGUCGGGUAAGUUCCGACCCGCACGAAAGGUGUAACGACUUGGGCACUGUCUCAACGAGAGACCCGGUGAAAUCAUAGUACCUGUGAAGAUGCAGGUUACCCGCGACAGGACGGAAAGACCCCGUGGAGCUUUACUGCAGCCUGAUAUUGAAUGUUGGUGCGACAUGUACAGCAUAGGUGGGAGACUGAGAAGCCUGGACGCCAGUCUAGGUGGAGUCGCCGUUGGGAUACCACCCUUGUCGUACUGAGAUUCUAACCCGCACCCCUGAUCGGGGUGGGAGACAGUGUCAGGUGGGCAGUUUGACUGGGGCGGUCGCCUCCCAAAGCGUAACGGAGGCGCCCAAAGGUUCCCUCAGAAUGGUUGGAAAUCAUUCGAAGAGUGUAAAGGCAGAAGGGAGCUUGACUGCGAGACCUACAAGUCGAGCAGGGACGAAAGUCGGGCUUAGUGAUCCGGUGGUUCCGAAUGGAAGGGCCAUCGCUCAACGGAUAAAAGCUACCCCGGGGAUAACAGGCUUAUCUCCCCCAAGAGUCCACAUCGACGGGGAGGUUUGGCACCUCGAUGUCGGCUCAUCGCAUCCUGGGGCUGUAGUCGGUCCCAAGGGUUGGGCUGUUCGCCCAUUAAAGCGGUACGCGAGCUGGGUUCAGAACGUCGUGAGACAGUUCGGUCCCUAUCCGUCGCGGGCGUAGGAAAUUUGAGAGGAGCUGUCCUUAGUACGAGAGGACCGGGAUGGACGCACCGCUGGUGUACCAGUUGUUCCGCCAGG